rnacentral:rRNA from 1 species
UACGGAGGGUGCAAGCGUUAUCCGGAUUCACUGGGUUUAAAGGGUGCGUAGGAGGGCAGGUAAGUCAGUGGUGAAAUCCUGGGGCUUAACCCCAGAACUGCCGUUGAUACUAUCGGUCUUGAAUGUCGUGGAGGUGAGCGGAAUAUGUCAUGUAGCGGUGAAAUGCUUAGAUAUGACAUAGAACACCAAAUUGCGAAGGCAGCUCACUACACAAUUAUUGACGCUGAGGCACGAAAAGCGUGGGGGAUCAAA